rnacentral:rRNA from 1 species
UACAGGGGGGUGCAAACGUUGCUCGGAAUCAUUGGGCGUAAAGCGCACGUAGGCGGUUCGUUAUGUCGGAUGUGAAAGCCCUUGGCUUAACCGAGGAAGUGCAUCCGAAACUGGCGAGCUAGAGUACGAAAGAGGAUCGCGGAAUUCCCGGUGUAGAGGUGAAAUUCGUAGAUAUCGGGAGGAACACCGGUGGCGAAGGCGGCUCACUGGCCCGAUACUGACGCUGAGGCACGAAAGCGUGGGGAGCAAACAGG